GGGGAUGUGGCUCAAGUGGUAGAGCGCUCGCCUAGCAUGCCUGUGGCCUGGGUUCGAUCCUCAGCACCA
rfam:Ictidomys tridecemlineatus contig002343, whole genome shotgun sequence.